GAGGUCACCAAGGGAAUGAGGAGGGAUGGAAAGAAGGUCUUAGGAUUGAGUCCUGAGGAGGACCACGGAAUCUACCAAGGGUUUUUCUGAAGAUGUAGAAGUCCUCACCUCUCUAUAGCUGCUCAGAUUUCUGGAGGCUCUGGCUGUAGCAUAUGACUCGUUUCUGGACCAAGAGGGCUGACUCCAAGGAAGGUGUAAGAG